UACGGAGGGUGCAAGCGUUAUCCGGAUUCACUGGGUUUAAAGGGUGCGUAGGAGGGCAGGUAAGUCAGUGGUGAAAUCCUAGAGCUUAACUCUAGAACUGCCGUUGAUACUAUCUGUCUUGAAUAUUGUGGAGGUGAGCGGAAUAUGUCAUGUAGCGGUGAAAUGCUUAGAUAUGACAUAGAACACCGAUAGCGGAGGCAGCUUGCUACACAAUGAUUGACACUGAGGCACGAAAGCGUGGGGAUCAAACAGG
rnacentral:rRNA from 1 species